rnacentral:rRNA from 1 species
UACGUAGGGUGCAAGCGUUGUCCGGAAUUAUUGGGCGUAAAGAGCUCGUAGGCGGUUUGUCGCGUCUGCUGUGAAAACCCGAGGCUCAACCUCGGGCCUGCAGUGGGUACGGGCAGACUAGAGUGCGGUAGGGGGAGACUGGAAUUCCUGGUGUAGCGGUGAAAUGCGCAGAUAUCAGGGAGGGAACACCCGGUGGGCGAAGGCGGGUCUCUGGGCCGAUAAUUGAC